rnacentral:rRNA from 1 species
UCAAGCUGGAAAGAGCGCAAGGGGAAUGCCUUGGCAUCAGGAGCCGAAGAAGGACGUGACAAGCUGCGAAAAGCCUCGGGGAGGAGCAAAUAUCCAUUGAUCCGGGGAUAUCCGAAUGGGGCAACCCGGCUGGACAAUAUCCAGUCAUCCUGCGUUGAACAAAAUAGGCGUAGGAAGGGAACCGCCUGAACUGAAACAUCUAAGUAGGGCGAGGAAGAGACAUCAACCGAGAUUCCGCAAGUAGUGGCGAGCGAACGCGGAAGAGGCCAAACCGAGGGAUUUAUUCCUCGGGGUUGCGGACAGUCAUUUAGCGGAAGUUAUCUAGGAGAAGGGUCUGGGAAGGCCCGCCACAGAGGGUGAGAGCCCCGUAUCCGAAAGAGAAGGCCGUGCGACUGAAUCCAGAGUACCGCGGGACACGUGAAACCCCGUGGGAAACAGGGGGGACCACCCUCCAAGCCUAAAUACUACCUGAUGACCGAUAGAGGAGCAGUACCGUGAGGGAAAGGUGAAAAGGACCCCGGGAGGGGAGUGAAAGAGAACCUGAAACCUUGUGCUUACAAGCACUCAAAGCCCGUUAAAGGGUGAUGAGGUACCUUUUGUAGAAUGGUCCGGCGAGUUAUUGUUACUGGCAAGCUUAAGGCAUUCAGUGCCGGAGGCGCAGGGAGACCGAGUCUGAAUAGGGCGUAUGAAGUCAGUGGCAAUAGACCCGAAACCGGGUGACCUAUCCAUGGGCAGGUUGAAGUGGGGGUAAAACCCCAUGGAGGACCGAACGCACGCCCGUUGCAAUGGUCGGCGAUGACCUGUGGAUAGCGGUGAAAUUCCAAUCGAACUCGGAGAUAGCUGGUUCUCCCCGAAAUAGCUUUAGGGCUAGCGUUGGCUUAGAUUACCGGAGGUAAAGCACUGAAUGGGCUAGGGGCCGAUAAGGUUACUGAACCCUAUCAAACUCUGAAUGCCGGAUAAUUGAUGGCCAGCAGUCAGUCUACGUGAGAUAAGUCUCGUGGACAAAAGGGAAACAGCCCAGACCCACAGCUAAGGUCCCAAAGAUACGCUAAGUGGAAAACGAUGUGGAGUUGCGAAAACAACCAGGAUGUUGGCUUAGAAGCAGCCACUCAUUAAAAGAGUGCGUAAUAGCUCACUGGUCGAGUGACUCUGCGCGGAAAAUAUAACGGGGCUAAGCGUAACACCGAAGCUUGGGCUGCACAGCAAUGUGCGGGGUAGGGGAGCGUCGAAUAUGGGGUGAAGUCGCAGCGGAAGCAGCGGUGGACUGUAUUCGAGUGAGAAUGCCGGAAUGAGUAGCGAGAAUUAUGUGGGAAUCAUAAUGGCCGAAAAUCUAAGGUUUCUUGGGGAAGGUUCGUCCGCCCAAGGUAAGCCGGGAGCUAAGGCGAGGCCGAAAGGCGUAGUCGAUGCACAUACGGUAGAAAUUCCGUAGCCACCGAACUUUAAGUCAGAGGGACACUUUUGGAUAGCGGAACCCGGGCGUUGGUUGACCCGGGCGAAAGGGAGCGAAAAUAUAGUAGCGAAGUCCGCGAUGCUGAGAGGCGAGAAAAGCUCUGAUGGAUACUAAGGUGCCCGUACCGCAAACCGACACAGGUAGAUGAGGAGAGAAUCCUAAGGCCAACGGGAGAAGGGUUGUUAAGGAACUCGGCAAAAUGACCCCGUAACUUCGGGAUAAGGGGAGCCUCCUACGGGAGGCCGCAGCGAAUAGGCCCAAGCGACUGUUUACCAAAAACACAGGUCUCUGCUAAAUCGAAAGAUGACGUAUAGGGGCUGACGCCUGCCCGGUGCUGGAAGGUUAAGAGGAGAUGUUAGCCGCAAGGCGAAGCAUUGAAUCGAAGCCCCAGUAAACGGCGGCCGUAACUAUAACGGUCCUAAGGUAGCGAAAUUCCUUGUCAGGUAAGUUCUGACCCG